rnacentral:lncRNA from 1 species
AACAAUUUGAAUAAGUUAUUGUUAUUUAUUUAACAAAAUUGUUAAAAUGUUACUAUUUAUUUAUUCUAUCUACUUAUUUGUAGAUCAUUAUGUUUAAUGUAUGCAUGUGGAAUAAGUUAUUUCUUUUAUACCUUGCCUAUGAUAGUAGAUGAGCAUUAUAUUUUCUGGUUUGUGUAUCUGAAAGUCUGUAUCAGGUUCAAGUUUUGGUUAAGGUUAGUUUGUGGUCAUAGAUGCCAAAUUAUUAAGAUUAUGACAAAGUUUUCACAGUUCACUGCAUAUAGAAAUGUGGUAAAUUUAAAUUUCAAUUUAAGCGAUAAGUUUUGAUUUUAGGUUUGUUUGUGGUCAUAUUAACUUGAAACUUAGUACAUAUAAAUGUUAUUAAGGGAACUGUUUAAUAUAUAUAUCUGAGAGUACACAUUAGGGUUUAGAACAAUAUUCCAUGUUGCAAUAAUAUGGAAAUGUCAAAAUGGCAAUCAUGCAUGCCAUGGUAUUUUCCUUUAUUACUGUCAAAUAUUUCUAAAACUGAAUCAUUGCUGAUUUGGUAAUAUAGUACAAAGUAGGGAUAUACUCAGUUUUCUGCAGUUCAAAACUCAAAAUCUAGGACAUACUUUUAAAAAUAAAUUACUUCUUGUCCACAUCUAAAUGUGAAAGGUCGGAUACUAAAUCUUUAUUUCAAUUUUGGUCAGCUUUGUUUAUCUGAAUUAAAGAAACAUAUUCAAUAACAGAUUUUUCUUUAGUAUUUUAUGCUAUUUCACUGUUAUUGUAUGUGUCAAUAUAUAUUGCAUGGAAAUUGUAAAAGUCAUUUACAUCCGAUGUUACUGAAUUUAUAAACGCAUGACUAUUAACAUUAUUAACUUUAUUAAAUGUAAAUAUAUUUGUCAGUAUGUAAGUUGUAAGAUUUCACACUAGGCUACAUGUUACAAUACAAUCAAUGCUAAAUACUUAAUCAGAAUAAUCACCUCAAACAAAUAUUGGAAAUACAAUGAAAAUGAAUACCUGAUAGUCAUAAUAUGUAAUCACAUAUUGGUAAUACAUGUAUAAUGCAAAUAGUAAUGACUCAAAAACGGAAAGGUUAAAAAUGUGAAUUAUUUUCUGUUUAAAUAUACAGUUUAUAAGCAUUUUGUGAUGUUCAAUUAAUGUAUUAAACUUGCUAUAGAUAUUAAAAAGCCAGGUGCAAUAGUAACUGAAAUUAUGCAAUCUACUCAGCAUUAAACAUUUAGAUGAAGCACAAGUAAUAUGAAUUUAUCAAAAAUGUAUGACAGUCAAGUUUAUAAAAAAUAACAUGAAAAUCCUUGUUAACAAGUGAUGAAUUAAAGAUAAAUUUGUCAAAUAUAUUUGUACAGAGUCAAUCAAAAGGACGUUAAUUUUGACCUUUAUAACUAUGUAUUUGUUAUUAUGAAUUAAAACUGUUAACAAAUGGAAUGCAUUGCAAUCUUUAAUGAGUAAGUGGUUGGUGAUCAAUAAAUGAAUUCACUCA